rnacentral:rRNA from 1 species
GACGAACGCUGGCGGCGUGCUUAACACAUGCAAGUCGAACGGAAAGGCCCUGCUUUUGUGGGGUGCUCGAGUGGCGAACGGGUGAGUAACACGUGAGUAACCUGCCCUUGACUUUGGGAUAACUUCAGGGAACUGGGGCUAAUACCGGAUAGGAGCUCCUGCUGCAUGGUGGGGGUUGGAAAGUUUCGGCGGUUGGGGAUGGACUCGCGGCUUAUCAGCUUGUUGGUGGGGUAGUGGCUUACCAAGGCUUUGACGGGUAGCCGGCCUGAGAGGGUGACCGGCCACAUUGGGACUGAGAUACGGCCCAGACUCCUACGGGAGGCAGCAGUGGGGAAUAUUGCACAAUGGGCGGAAGCCUGAUGCAGCAACGCCGCGUGCGGGAUGACGGCCUUCGGGUUGUAAACCGCUUUCGCCUGUGACGAAGCGUGAGUGACGGUAAUGGGUAAAGAAGCACCGGCUAACUACGUG